rnacentral:misc_RNA from 1 species
GAAUAUGUGCACUAACCUUUUGAUACAGUGUAGAUGCGAUUGGUACCUUUAUGAAACACCUAGGACCCUAAAUGUUGUCCCUCUAACUUGUCCAUACUAAGAUCACUAAUGGCAACCCCUAAACCAGCUUCUCAAGGCUUGCCUUUAAAUAGGUUGUAGAUGUGUAUAGGACACUAGAAACAAUUUCUAACAAUUUUAAUUCAAAAAAAACAAUUAAUAUCUCUUUGAAUUGAUGAAAAAAUAUGAAGAAGAGGAGAGGAGAGCCUUUUGGGUGGCGGGACACUUUGAGAAAAAUCAGAAUGUUAUGUUUUAUUUUUCAUUCUUUCUCUUUUAUAAUUAGGUCAUC